rnacentral:misc_RNA from 1 species
UCAAACUUGGUCAUUUAGAGGAAGUAAAAGUCGUAACAAGGUUUCCGUAGGUGAACCUGCGGAAGGAUCAUUAACAGUUCUGGCUGUAAAAGCUAUGCCCUUGGCCCAUCCGGUCAGGGCUUAGUCUCCACCUUUUGUGAACCUCAAAAAAAAUUUCGCUUCGGCAGCGGGCUCUCGUCUGGGAGCUGUGAGCCUGCCGGCAGCACAUUCUUAAACCUGUGAUGUUAUUUACAUGUCUGAACCAUUCUAAUUCUGAAUGAAAAUUAAAACUUUCAACAACGGAUCUCUUGGUUCUCGCAUCGAUGAAGAACGCAGC